rnacentral:rRNA from 1 species
UACAGAGGUGGCAAGCGUUGUUCGGAAUUACUGGGCGUAAAGGGCGAGUAGGCGGCCUUCUAAGUCAGACGUGAAAUCCCCCGGCUUAACCUGGGAACUGCGUCUGAUACUGGGAGGCUAGAGUAUGGGAGAGGGAUGUGGAAUUCCAGGUGUAGCGGUGAAAUGCGUAGAUAUUAGCUAGAACACCAGUGGCGAAGGCGACUACCUGGCCUGUUCUUGACGCUGAGGCGCGAAAGCUAGGGGAGCAAACGGG